CUCAGAUUGAACGCUGGCGGCAGGCCUAACACAUGCAAGUCGAACGGUAACAGGAAGCAGCUUGCUGCUUCGCUGACGAGUGGCGGACGGGUGAGUAAUGUCUGGGAAACUGCCUGAUGGAGGGGGAUAACUACUGGAAACGGUAGCUAAUACCGCAUAACGUCGCAAGACCAAAGAGGGGGACCUUCGGGCCUCUUGCCAUCGGAUGUGCCCAGAUGGGAUUAGCUAGUAGGUGGGGUAACGGCUCACCUAGGCGACGAUCCCUAGCUGGUCUGAGAGGAUGACCAGCCACACUGGAAC
rnacentral:rRNA from 1 species